rnacentral:rRNA from 1 species
GGGGAUGACGUCAAGUCCUCAUGGCCCUUAUGGGUAGGGCUUCACACGUCAUACAAUGGUCGGUACAGAGGGUUGCCAAGCCGCGAGGUGGAGCCAAUCCCAGAAAGCCGAUCGUAGUCCGGAUCGCAGUCUGCAACUCGACUGCGUGAAGUCGGAAUCGCUAGUAAUCGCGGAUCAGCAUGUCGCGGUGAAUACGUUCCCGGGUCUUGUACACACCGCCCGUCACACCAUGGGAGUGGGUUCUACCAGAAGUAGUUAGCCUAACCGUAAGGAGGGCGAUUACCACGGUAGGAUUCAUGACUGGGGUGAAGUCGUAACAAGGUAGCCGUAUCGGAAGGUGCGGCUGGAUCACCUCCUUU